rnacentral:lncRNA from 1 species
GCAAGACCUGUAAGGUAAAUGGCCUACGAUCAGUGUGAUGUUAAGGCAGACAAAACAUUUAAGGUUCACACUUGCAAAUUAAAUUCUGAGUGUUUUCUAUACUGCUAAUCGUGGCUGUUAGUCUGGUCAGACUGCAAAUUUUCUGCCUUCCAUAUUUCCCCAGUUUACCUGUAGGUAGAUUGUGAGAGAUGAUGUCAAAGGCCUUUCUAAAGUCAAGUGAGAACCUAAGGCAGAGAAGUACUGAGCACUUUCAUCUUUCCUAUGAUUUUUGUUACUAGGGAUCACAGUUCAACAGAACACGCCCUAUUUUGUUUAUGAGAGCAGUAUAUUGAGGGGGGCGUUGACAGGGUGAAUGGCUGGCCCUGAGCUUUGGCCACAGAGCAGUUAUCAGAAACUGGCAUCAGAAUACAAGCCUGGAGGCAGCAGGGGAGCAGGCUUUGCUGGCAAGGGAAUGGGAGGAGGGGAGCUGUGCAAUGUGAGCACCUCAUGCUAAACGCAGUGGCGUUAAAUGUAUGAGAGAGAGGGGUUAUCUGGGAAUCUGUUAGUAGCAAACUUAGUUGCUGUUUGGAAAAAAAAAAACGUUUGUGAUACUGACCUGGAACCAGGGCCGGCUGUUAACAGCAGAACUGAUGCUACAUGUAGUGUUUGACUUUGUGUCGAGUUUAUGGCCCGUUAUCUGCAUUCCAUUGCAAUCUAUUAAUUACAGCCUAGCAUUUCACGUGGAUUUCCCAGCAAGGCCCUGCCUGAGGUCACGCUUCCCUUCCAGUCACCUAACUUGUGAAAGCAGGAACUGUGCUGCCCGGCAGUUUCUCAUUUGGGGUAGGUGGGUCCUUCUGGGACAACCCGUAAUAGCUGCAGACGUACACGUGACUGGGCUUUGCCGGCAUUACAAGGAGCAGCUUAUCGCUUCGGGGUGAGCAGCCCGCUGUCGGUGCAGCCAAAGAGCGACAUUGCAGGUUGGUCCUCCACUCCUCGUUAGUAUAGUGGUCUGUGGCAGCCCUGAGGACAGGAUGCGAAAUGCUCCAGCUCACAGCUUCUGCAUGACUGCCAUCCCUGCCAGCCACCAUGCUGCAGCCCUCAGGUUCCCAUCUGCUGAGAGACACUAAUGAAGUCAUCUUAAUCAGGAUGCAGGUUUGCAACACCCGGCUGCAGCGUUGGAAACAAGUUUGGAGAUCCCUGCUCUGCUUCCAGGCAGCCUGGUGCUUUGUGCUGGAGGAACACGGAGUGAUGCUGUGCUGAGCAAAUACUACAACCUAUUCUGUAAGGUACCAGUUGUGAUAGAGGCUUCCCAGCCCUGUGCUGGUGCCCAGCAGUGCCAGCUGUGGUUCUGGAGUUUGUCCAUAAGGAGCAGGGGCAUUUAGCACAGAGCUGCAUCUUCUAGAAGAACUUUUUCCUGUGUUUUCCUGCUUCAGAUCCAGCCUGCAUUCUGUACAUAAAUUGGGUCUGCAAGGCCUCAGCAUAAUUUACUUCCUCUUUAUAGAGGCAGCAAGUACAGCAGCGAGUGCAGCGAGCCCUCAGCAACCAUGCUGAGCCCUCAGGCAGCAAUGCAUGGGAUGUCUGCUGGAGGAACACGAGAGAAAGGUACCUUCAGGUUGGUCUGAGGGGCUGCAAUCCUGUGCUGGUGGGAAUGAGACACCUGGACUGUGAUUUCAACAUUAACCUUAACGUUGAAUUAAGGCUAAAUUAAUUAAACUAGGCCCACUAGGUUAGUAGUAUUAAUUAAUUAUUAACAUAGGCCUGCUUUUGUGAAGCACGCUCCUCAUGAAUGCUGCUGCUUUGUGAGCUGUGCUGGCGUGGUGCACAGAGGGUUUGCCUGUAGCACAUCUGUGGAAGAGCUACAGCACUGUCCACACCAGAACCUCCUGACUGGAACAGAAAAUCCCAGAGUUGAGGGAACAGUAAAUGGCAUUCACUGGCAUUCCAGCUGUGGUGUGUUCACAGCAAUCCAGACCAGGAGGCACCCACCUGAUGGCCUCUCCCAGCUCCGGUGCUCUUUCUGACUCCCUGUCCUUCCCCAACACCCGGGCACACAGCCACCACGUCACUGCCCGGACGGCUGGGCCCAAACGUGCUGCUCUCUGUAAACAGGCUAAAAAUAUCCCCGCGCUGUUCCUGCGAGGGCCCUCAGGCUGGGAAGGAGGCCGGGAUCAGGCGGCCUCUGGGGAUGCUCCCUGCGGGCUCUGAGGGAAGGGGGGGUGGGAAGCAUCCAGACAGUGCUGUGUGAGGAACCCGGGGUAUGUCACAGGAGGGCUGUAGCAGCUGGUGGGAAGGAACUGUUCCUCAAGUACACUGAGGAUCAGGAGGUGAUGUGUGGAGGACGGCCCGGUGUCCCUCCAAGGCCGGGGCAGGGCCCUGCUCGGGCCGAGCAGAACAGGAGACAAAUUCCUCCAGCUGUGUUUCUCGUCUGAGGGCAAUAAUUUGGUCCUCCUGCUCUUCUGUUUGCGCCGCUGGACAGACUAGUGGAAGGCAAUUAGGAAGAUAAAUGUUUUUCCACCUCCCUGCAGUGCAUUUGUGAUUUAAAGAAAGGCUCAGCAGAGGUUACCACAGGCGGUUACAACAGUUUCUGAUUGCUGGGCUGAUUUCUGGACUGCACCAUUGCUCAGCUCAGUUAUUCAGCCCUACAAGAUGACAGGAAAGAAAGGGUCGUUUUAUAACGACAUAGAAAGCUAUCAGCAAAGCUCCAUUCAGGGGAUAUUUUUGUCAGUCCUACGUUUACUUCCUUUGAAGCACCUUAACCAGCUGUGCUCAAGUUGGCAUGGCCAGGAAGGACCGAGGACCACAUCUACAUCACAGGGCUGUGGGCCAGCGGCCUGCAAC